GUAGACGGACGGAUUCUUCAUCUGCAGCAGCUGCAUUCUAAAAGAAACCAUUACAAAAAUAAGGAAAAAUGAAUUUUACAAACUAUGUCAUAUGUUUUCUUUGUUUCCUCAAUAUAACUCUGAUUAGAAUGUCAAACAAAGAGAAAAUCAUCCGUAUUAAUCGUCAAUAUCGUGUAUAUUAUUAAUAUGAGCGUCUUUGUGUUAAAUUCGUGCUACACCACACCAUGCACUUAUAUCGACGUCGCAAUGCAAAAGAAGAAGGGCAAGAAAGAAACCUGUCCUGGUCUGGCGAUUUAAGGGGACAUUUGUUUAAGCCUGUCUAGAUCUUUUAUCAGUCUAGAAAGAUGUUGGAGAAAAGACAUCAUCCUCUUCUAUAAUCUCCAUCUGUAAUUGGACUAACAACUGGACCAGUGAAUGCAGGCAACUUACUCUCCAUUCGACCUUGCAGGUCACACCAUGGUCUCAAGAGGGAAAAUGAGUGCUCUAUGGAUUGAACAGAAAAGGUGAAUCAAAACUCCAACCAUCUGUAUGAGGGUCUGGAUGGAUAAAGGAUGCCCACUGGAGCUGGAAAUGAUGGAUCAGGUGGAUCCACACUUGAACCAUCUGUAUGAUGAUCUGCACCCACUGGAUCUGUAAAUGGUGGUGCAGAAUUCUGGCCUGGUGUUUGGUCCCCCCUUUCUCUGGCUUGUGUCUCCAUCAUCAUUACACUCUUGUCAGUGUAAUAGUAUCGUCGUCUGCAUACCAGGACUUUGUUACUCAGCAGUCCCUUCUCCUUCAAGCUACAUUUUUGUCAAGCUGCAACAAGUUGGAAUACAUAAUUAUUAACGUUUAAUGAUUUUGAUGUAUGAAAUAUGUAACAAAAGCAAAAAAUGUAUAGACAUUCUAUUAAGAAAUUACCUUUUUGUUGUUUGUUUACUGACCUUUCAACCAUAUUGCAUUUAUAAUUGAUCAUCAUACCUUUGGUCUACUGUUAACAGGCUACUGUAGAAAACAAAGUCAAACAAAAAAGAGAGAAAAAAUUAUAAAUGCUGAAUGUGUCUCAUCUUAAAUACAUUGUUGUUGUUUUUGUUUCAUUGAAUUUGGAUGUUUUGAUGAUUUAAGGAAAAUUUACGUAGCAUAUAUAUUGAUGUUUUAAAUCAGAGUUUGUUAAUGACACUUAAUCAUUAACAAACAUUUAAAAAGCUUUAUUACAAUACUAAUUGAUAAUAUUCAUGUAAUAAUAUUGUUUUGUAACACCCUAAAUCACUGAGCGCACAAACGCUACCCCUGUUACAAGCAUGAGUGAUUGACUUCAGGCACACAUGCGCAGACAUUGAAGUACCGCGAGAGUGAUUCAAAAGCCCACGAAACAGUGUAAUCACGCGGUACUGUGAUGUCAUACUGGUUAAGGCUAAGCCACGUGAAGCCGGACACAAGGGCUACACUAAUCUUUGGGCUGGAGUAGCCUGUGGCUUUUAAGGCUUCGUGUCUCAUCGCGUUAAACGAUCGCAGAACGAUUUAUUUCUCUUUUUCACCUCGAUCUUUGGCCUCGUGUGAUUUACCAAAACCAACAUGUGAAGUUACAACGCUGACGAAGGAGUUUCAUCAGUAGAGUGUGUCCUGGAAAACGUGUGCUCGGAAACAUACAGAAUACAGUAUUUACAGAGCCGACCUUGAGGCACCCACUGAUGGAUAAUCUGUUUACCUAAAAACAGCCCACCACAAUCCAUGUUUACCAGCUGUGAAAGUGCAGGCCAAAAAUCUUCCUUCACCUGUGGGCCUCUACCCACAUGUAGAUAAGCAUUUCAGGAGAAACCUGCCUGUGAUCUGCUAAGAUGCAAAGAUUCAACUCUGGCCCAUUGUCAUCCCAACACCUCAUCUGCCAUCAGUUUCGUUUAGAGUCGGUCUAUUGCAAAAGUUCUUAUAAACUUUAAAUGAGACUUUGUGUUAAGCAGGGGUUUCCAAACUUUUCAUUCCACAACAUAUUAAGCCCAGGAUACACAGCAGGAUUUUUGCAAUCCAAUAAGACCUUAUCACACUGUGUGACAAGGAUUGUUUAAACUUCAGCAGUAGACUGUCGAUGAAGACACCUAUUGCAUCUGAAGCUGCGACAUCCGUCAUCAGCAUGCGCUAGUGGUAAACAAAUACAGGUUUGCAGAUCGUAGAAGCAAACACAUUGUUGAUGUGCGAUGAUCAUGCUGAACUUCUUACACUGUCAUAAAACUAUCGUAGGUGUCUUUGGUCCCAGGACUGGGAAAACAGACGUCUUUAAACCUCUCACACUGUAUGAGAUAGGACCACCAAUUAAGAGCCACGAUCACAGAAAUCUCCACGAUUGUUUCACGAUUGGUAAUCUUUCAUCUGGGACAGCCAAAAAUCGUGCCGUGUAUUAUGGGCUUUAGACAGGUGUAAUCUUAUAGUAUAUCAAAACCAUUGCUAAUAAUUAAUUGGACAAACCAUUACUACAAUGCAACACUCACUAUCUUACGGUGCGACCCACAGGUGGGUCUUCACCCACAGUUUAAAAACCCUGAGUAUGAGAGAGAGUAUGUUGUAUUGUAAUUAAAGUCACAUCUAAGUGUUAUGGAACAGUUUGUCAUUAUAUUCACAGUAUUACAUGGUUCUUUCAGCGGUUACUACGUUACAGUGCUCUUAAAGUGUCCUGAUCAGCUUUGGGUCUUCUGAAGUAAUGUAAUGAGAACUUGAUCAAUAGCUUUGCAGUAUUUUGUUACACUGUGGCUGUAAUCAUAUUAACACAUAGGUUAAACAUUUUAUUCAAAUUUGGUAAACAAACUAGUCAAUAUAAUUCAUGCUGUGAUGCUGGAUUAAACCUGGUCAAAUGAUUGUGUAUUGUGUUUUCAAUUUUUUAUGAGGUUUCUUCAUCUAUAUAAACAUUCUUAAUAUCACCUUUGGUUUGCUCAGAGUUUGUUCAGAUGAUUUUUUAAAACUAAAUGUUGUAAAAAUGCAAGGUGUGUUACACAAUUUCAAUGGAUGGCGUGGGGUCAAAAACUAUCAAAAGUUUCAAGCUUAGAUAUAUAACUGUUGACAAACACACUUAAUGUGAGUCACACCCAGUAAUUAUAAUAAGCAGGAAUUGCAGUAAGCAGGGUCACCUUAAGAUAAUCAGCUUGUUGGCAAUUGUUUUAUUUAAUUAAAUGUAUAACUUUUUUCAUUUCAGACUGAUAAAACAGUCAGAGGGGCAGUGGCUGUUGGCAAUGAUGUUCUUGUGUGUUUUGUAUUUGUUAAUAUUUUGUAGUCAGAAAGAGUAUGAGAUCACCUUUUCUUGUGCAUGGUGCUUUAUCUACGGUAAGUGCCUUUUUAACGUUUUGGAUUAAACGCAAAAUGUCUACAUUGUUUUUUAUUAUACGUGAUAUGGGCUUUUAUUAAUUAUAUUUAAUUAUAUUUUUUGCUUCAAAAUUAAUGCCAACCCUUAAAAACAUGUUGACUAUAUUUUUAAAACAAUUAAACAAGACAUUUAUUAAAAAAAUGAAAUGAGUUGGAGGUCUUUGCUGAUUCGUCUGCGUUUGAUCGGAUUCAAGACCAAACGGAGAUGCAUUGCAGGCAGGUAGGAUUUAGAAUUUUUUAAGAUCUUAAAUACGUCUUGUAGAGAUAUGGAAGACGUAUUAUUCAAAGACGAUCGUCAGCAGAUGUAAAGAUCUUUACAAGACGUAUCUGAGACGUACGUGUGCUAUCU